rnacentral:rRNA from 1 species
AGGACGAACGCUGGCGGCGUGCUUAACACAUGCAAGUCGAGCGGAAAGGCCCUUCGGGGUACUCGAGCGGCGAACGGGUGAGUAACACGUGAGUAACCUGCCCUUGACUCUGGGAUAAGCACUGGAAACGGUGUCUAAUACCGGAUACGAGCUUCAGCCGCAUGGCUAGGAGUUGGAAAGAAUUUCGGUCAAGGAUGGACUCGCGGCCUAUCAGGUAGUUGGUGAGGUAAUGGCCCACCAAGCCUACGACGGGUAGCCGGCCUGAGAGGGUGACCGGCCACACUGGGACUGAGACACGGCCCAGACUCCUACGGGGGCAGCAGUGAGGAAUUUUCGUCAAUGGGGGCAACCCGUGAACGAGCAACGCCGCGUGCAGGAAGAGGUUUCGGAUCGUAAACUGCUUUUCUCGGGAAGAGAACGGACGGUACCCGAGGAAUCGAGCCCCGGCUAACUACGUGCCAGCAGCCGC